rnacentral:rRNA from 1 species
CGAACCGUGCGAACGUUAUUCGGAAUCAUUGGGCUUAAAGGGCGCGUAGGCGGCGGUGUAAGUUGGAAGUGAAAUCCCAUCGGCUCAACCGUGGAAUUGCUCCCAGUACUGCAUCGCUCGAGGGGGAUAGGGGUUUGCGGAACUACCGGUGGAGCGGUGAAAUGUGUUGAUAUCGGUGGGAACGCCAGUGGCGAAAGCGGCAAACUUGACCCUUCCUGACGCUGAGGCGCGAAAGCUAGGGGAGCAAACGGGAUUAGAUACCCCGGUAGUCCUAGCCUUAAACGUUGGGUACUGAGUAGAAAGGGGACCGAUACCCCCUUCUGCUGGAGCGAAAGUGUUAAGUACCCCGCCUGGGGAGUAUGGUCGCAAGGCUG